CCCGCCUAGCUUCUCCUAGUUGCUAGAAGGCGAACUGCGAAUGCCACUCGGAGAAGAGCCAGGUGUCGCUGUGGUCCUCUACAAAUGCGCCGCCGCCGCACUCCUCGGCCUUAUAGGUUCCAGGAAAGCCCCGCCUAAGACGGAUCUUGGCCUCUCCUCAUCCCUUCCAGGUCCUUCUGAAGAUAUAUUUAUCAAGCAGCGGUGAGGAAGCCUAGAUUGAGGAUCAAGCUGAAAUGCUGACGUGGCUCUGGGUUCCUGCUGACCUCAUGCCUGGCCAAGUGCCCAGCAUUGGGAGGUGUUCGGUGUAUUGUUUGGGAAGCCAUAUUUUCUGGCAUUGGAAUCAAGGCACCUGGGUGCCCAUGGGACCAUCAACCAUGCUGGGGAUAACACUGCUAAAUGCUCCACACAAUCACGUCUGUGAAGAAGGAAGAUUGAUGGUGGCCCCUGCACGAGGCACAGACAAGACCUGUCAUAGUUGUCAUGUGGUUAUGGCAGUUUUCACCAGUGAAAUUGACCAAUUCAUCAACUGCUCACCAGGCACCGGGGAAGUCACAGUCAGACCUACAUUCGCCUUCAAAUAACAUUCUCAGGUUAGGAACUGGCCAUGACUAAAAGAGCAGAGCUGUAGAAACAUUGGGAGCAUGACCUGUGUACUCAAGUGAAAACCACAGUGUCAAGAAGGAAGCGUUGACACUCAGUGAACAUGCUAAAAACCAAUGAUGAAGGUAUUCU
rnacentral:lncRNA from 1 species